GGUGAGUAACACGUAUGCAACCUGCCCCUGUCAGGGGGACAACCCGCCGAAAGGCGGGCUAAACCCGCGUACAUGCCACCGGGGCAUCCCGGAGGCAGGAAAGGCUUCGGCCGGACAGGGAUGGGCAUGCGGCGCAUUAGGCAGUAGGCGGGGUAACGGCCCACCUAACCGACGAUGCGUAGGGGUUCUGAGAGGAAGGUCCCCCACACUGGUACUGAGACACGGACCAGACUCCUACGGGAGGCAGCAGUGAGGAAUAUUGGUCAAUGGUCGGGAGACUGAACCAGCCAAGCCGCGUGAGGGAUGAAGGUACAGAGUAUCGUAAACCUCUUUUGUCAGGGAACAAAGGCGGGGACGUGUCCCCGGAUGAGUGUACCUGAAGAAAAAGCAUCGGCUAACUCCGUGCCAGCAGCCGCGGUAAUACGGAGGAUGCGAGCGUUAUCCGGAUUUAUUGGGUUUAAAGGGUGCGCAGGCGGUCUGUUAAGUCAGCGGUCAAAGCCCGGGGCUCAACCCCGGCCCGCCGUUGAAACUGGCAGUCUCGAGUUGGAGAGAAGUAUGCGGAAUGCGCGGUGUAGCGGUGAAAUGCAUAGAUAUCGCGCAGAACUCCGAUUGCGAAGGCAGCAUGCCGGCUCCACACUGACGCUGAGGCACGAAAGCGUGGGUAUCGAACAGGAUUAGAUACCCUGGUAGUCCACGCAGUAAACGAU
rnacentral:rRNA from 1 species